UUGCUGGCGACCGGCGCACGGGUGAGUAACACGUAUCCAACCUGCCGAUAACUCGGGGAUAGCCUUUCGAAAGAAAGAUUAAUACCCGAUGGUAUAAUCAGACCGCAUGGUCUUGUUAUUAAAGAAUUUCGGUUAUCGAUGGGGAUGCGUUCCAUUAGGCAGUUGGUGAGGUAACGGCUCACCAAACCUUCGAUGGAUAGGGGUUCUGAGAGGAAGGCCCCCCACAUUGGAACUGAGACACGGUCCAA
rnacentral:rRNA from 1 species